rnacentral:rRNA from 1 species
CAGUCGCCGCGGUAAUACGGAGGAUCCGAGCGUUAUCCGGAAUUAUUGGGUUUAAAGGGUGCGUAGGCGGAUAGAUAAGUCAGUGGUGAAAGACGGUGGCUCAACCAUCGCAGUGCCGUUGAUACUGUUUAUCUUGAAUAUGGAUGAGGUAGGCGGAAUGUGGCAAGUAGCGGUGAAAUGCAUAGAUAUGCCACAGAACACCGAUUGCGAAGGCAGCUUACCAAGGCAAAAUUGACGCUGAGGCACGAAAGCGUGGGGAUCGAACAGGAUUAGAUACCCCCGUAGUCCCUGUCUCUUAUAC